UUUCGAAAGCCUAUUAUUCGAAGGAUAUUCAUGUAAACGUCUUCAAACUUUGUAUACUUACUAAUUUUGAGGUGGUCUUUUUAGUGAUUUGAUUCAUUUCUUAAUUUGGGCACUUUUUAACAUUCGUGCCCAGUCCACUCAUCAACUUCGGAAUGGCUAAUCGUUUCACGUUCAGCAAAAUAAUUAAAUAGGUCAACAUUAACGUCAACCUCAAUAAUUUGUGCUCUUUUAAUAAUACUUAGAAUUAAGGCAAUUGUUUGGUUCAUUUUUCGUCUGCUAAACUAAACGAAACACUGGCAACAUAGUUUAGGCUAGUGCGUGACACAGGCUGCAACAUUUGCAUGAUGCUAAGAUACGAAAAAGAUGACCAUAUUUCCUUUGUUUCAUUAACGUUAGUCUAGUUUUAUUCAUUUUUGUCAUAAAAUAUCACUUUGUGGAAGUAAUUUUACACCAUAUUAAAUUUGUUGUGAUAACAAUGGCGUCAUGAAUAUAUACAUUACUUUGAUGUGGAAAACCCUUUAUAAAUUAAAUUCAGAGCCGUUCCUAGACGCGAUAACUGGGGGGCGGGUGUAUAUUAAUAUAUUCGUGUUCUGCCCGACGGAUUUCUUUUGAAAGCGAUUGUCCCCCUCCCCCAAAUUAUCGCGUCUAGUUACGGCGCUGAUUAAAUUGUGUCUUUGGGAGAAGUACAUUACACUAUCACACGUGGAUCAACGCAUACUUUGGUUAAAAGAAACUUUUUACACUGCAAAGCAUUAUUGCGAGGUUCAUGAAUUGCUGGCUCGUGUUCUUGUUUUGUCUUACACCACAACACGCAGGGCCGUAACUAGACGCGAUAAAGGGG